GAUGAACGCUGGCGGCGUGCCUAAUACAUGCAAGUCGAGCGAACGGACGAGAAGCUUGCUUCUCUGAUGUUAGCGGCGGACGGGUGAGUAACACGUGGAUAACCUACCUAUAAGACUGGGAUAACUUCGGGAAACCGUAGCUAGUACCGGAUAAUAUUUUGAACCGCAUGGUUCAAAAGUGAAAGACGGUCUUGCUGUCACUUAUAGAUGGAUCCGCGCUGCAUUAGCUAGUUGGUAAGGUAACGGCUUACCAAGGCAACGAUGCAUAGCCGACCUGAGAGGGUGAUCGGCUACACUGGAACUGAGACACGGUCCAGACUCCUACGGGAGGCAGCAGUAGGGAAUCUUCCGCAAUGGGCGAAAGCCUGACGGAGCAACGCCGCGUGAGUGAUGAAGGUCUUCGGAUCGUAAAACUCUGUUAUUAGGGAAGAACAUAUGUGUAAGUAACUGUGCACAUCUUGACGGUACCUAAUCAGAAAGCCACGGCUAACUACGUG
rnacentral:rRNA from 1 species